rnacentral:rRNA from 1 species
GACGAACGCUGGCGGCGUGCCUAAUACAUGCAAGUCGAACGACUGGCGGACGAGUGAGUAACACGUGGGAACCUACCCAUCAGAGGGGGAUAACACUUGGAAACAGGUGCUAAUACCGCAUACUGAUGGAUGGACCCGCGGUGCAUUAGCGAGUAGGUGGGGUAAAGGCGCACCUAGGCGACGAUCGCUAGCGGGUCGGAGAGGAGGAUCAGCCACACUGGAAUGGAGACACGGCCAAGACUCCGACGGGAGGCAGCAGUGGGGAAUAUUGGACAAUGGGCGCAAGCCUGAGGAAGCAAUGCCGGGUGUAGGAAGAAGGCCUUAGGGUUGUAAAGUACUUUCAGCGGGGAGGCGUUACCCGCAGAAGAAGCAACGGCUAACUCCGUGCCAGCAGCCGCGGUAAUAC